rnacentral:rRNA from 1 species
AACGAACGCUGGCGGCAUGCCUAACACAUGCAAGUCGAACGAGACCUUCGGGCCUAGUGGCGCACGGGUGCGUAACGCGUGGGAACCUGCCCUUAGGUUCGGAAUAACUCCCCGAAAGGGGUGCUAAUACCGGAUAAUGUCUUCGGACCAAAGAUUUCUCGCCUUUGGAUGGGCCCGCGUUGGAUUAGCUGGUUGGUAGGGUAAAAGCCUACCAAGGCGACGAUGCAUAGCUGGUCUGAGAGGAUGAUCAGCCGCACUGGGACUGCGACACGGCCCAGACUCCUACGGGAGGCAGCAGUGGAGAAUAUUGGACGAUGGGCGAUAGCCUGAUCCAGCAAUGCCGCGUGAGUGAUGAAGGCCUUAGGGUUGUAAAGCUCUUUUACCCGGGAUGAUAAUGACAGUACCGGGAGAAUAAGCUCCGGCUAACUCCGUG